UCUCCGUAGGUGAACCUGCGGAGGGAUCAUUACUGAGUGAGGGCUUCGGUCCGACCUCCAACCCUUUGUGAACCAAACUUGUUGCUUCGGGGGCGACCCUGCCGGCACUCUGUCGCCGGGCGCCCCCGGGGUCAAUCAAACACUGCAUUCUCUGCGUCGGAGUAUUAGUAAAUCUAAUCAAAACUUUCAACAACGGAUCUCUUGGUUCUGGCAUCGAUGAAGAACGCAGC
rnacentral:misc_RNA from 1 species